UGGGGAAUUUUGGACAAUGGGGGAAACCCUGAUCCAGCCAUCCCGCGUGUGCGAUGAAGGCCUUCGGGUUGUAAAGCACUUUUGGCAGGAAAGAAACGUCAUGGGUUAAUACCCCGUGAAACUGACGGCACCUGCAGAAUAAGCACCGGCUAACUACGUGCCAGCAGCCGCGGUAAUACGUAGGGUGCAAGCGUUAAUCGGAAUUACUGGGCGUAAAGCGUGCGCAGGCGGUUCGGAAAGAAAGAUGUGAAAUCCCAGAGCUCAACUUUGGAACUGCAUUUUUAACUACCAGGCUAGAGUGUGUGAGAGGCGGGUGGAAUUCCGCGUGUAGCAGUGAAAUGCGUAGAUAUGCGGAGGAACACCGAUGGCGAAGGCAGCCUCCUGGGAAAGCACUGACGCUCAUGCACGAAAGCGUGGGGAGCAAACAGG
rnacentral:rRNA from 1 species